GCAUCUCUGCCUUCGAGAGCAUUUGCCUACUCUCCACACCAGGAGAGGAGUGUGCCAUCUGCUUCUAUCACGCUGCCAACACCCGCCUUGUGCCCUGCGGCCACACAUACUUCUGCAGAUACUGUGCCUGGCGGGUCUUCAGCGAUACGGCCAAGUGCCCUGUGUGCCGCUGGCAGAUAGAGGCGGUAGCCCCUGCGCAGGGCCCUCCUGCUCUGAGGGUUGAGGAAGGCUCAUGAAAGGAGGCUUCCCAGUAUGAGUGGCAGCCCGGGCCUAGAUCUGAGUCUGGCCCCUGCAGAGAGGAAGGAGGCGCAGCCCUACCUUCUUUCUGGGGAAGAGUCAGAAAGGCUGAUUAGCAAGAGGUGCGGCAGAGAGAGGAAGGCAGGGAGGUGCUGUCUGCUGCCUCCACCUGUUCCCCAACAGGAUAGCAAGGAAAAACCCCUCUUUCUGUCCAUGCCAGAACUAUCCUUCUGAUGGGGUGCUUUGUUUAGAGAUGGGGUGGCCCAAUCCCCAAUCAGUUUUACAUCUGAGGGAGUUCAGGUAUCUGUUGUGACUGGUGAAGCCCUGUACCUCCUGGGUAUUGAAGAACCUGGACUUGAAGCAGGAGGUAUCUGCAAGGAAUGUAUAAAGUUCCACAUGGAAGCUGGGUUGCCUCCCACAAGUCCCCAGUAGAGUGGAUCUGUAGUUACCCGCCCUGCCUCCCUUUCAGGGUGGUCAUGAGGUCCCAGAGAGACCAUGCAUCUGAAGAUGAUUUAAAACAUGAAAGUGUAUUGUUGUCACUGUGGUAAUUUCCUUGCCAGUUUCUG
rnacentral:lncRNA from 1 species